GACGAACGCUGGCGGCGUGCUUAACACAUGCAAGUCGAACGGAAAGGCCCUUCGGGGUACUCGAGUGGCGAACGGGUGAGUAACACGUGGGUGAUCUGCCCUGCACUUUGGGAUAAGCCUGGGAAACUGGGUCUAAUACCGGAUAGGACUACGCGAUGCAUGUCGUGUGGUGGAAAGCUUUUGCGGUGUGGGAUGGGCCCGCGGCCUAUCAGCUUGGUGGUGAGGUUACGGCUCACCAAGGCGACGACGGGUAGCCGGCCUGAGAGGGUGACCGGCCACACGGGGACUGAGAUACGGCCCAGACUCCUACGGGAGGCAGCAGUGGGGAAUAUUGCACAAUGGGCGCAAGCCUGAUGCAGCGACGCCGCGUGAGGGAUGACGGCCUUCGGGUUGUAAACCUCUUUCAGCAGGGACGAAGCGCAAGUGACGGUACCUGUAGAAUAAGGACCGGCUAACUACGUGCCAGCAGCCGCAGUAA
rnacentral:rRNA from 1 species